rnacentral:tRNA from 1 species
GGUCUCGUGGUGUAGCGGUUCAGUCGGCUUCUUGUUACGCAGGCGGUCGCGGGGUCGGUUCCCGUCGAGACCGGCA